CAGCAGCCGCGGGAAUACGUAGGUGGCAAGCGUUGUCCGGAAUUAUUGGGCGUAAAGGGCUCGCAGGCGGUUUCUUAAGUCUGAUGUGAAAGCCCCCGGCUCAACCGAGGAGGGUCAUUGGAAACUGGGAAACUUGAGUGCAGAAGAGGAGAGUGGAAUUCCACGUGUAGCGGUGAAAUGCGUAGAGAUGUGGAGGAACACCAGUGGCGAAGGCGACUCUCUGGUCUGUAACUGACGCUGAGGAGCGAAAGCGUGGGGAGCGAACAGGAUUAGAUACCCGUGUAGUCCCUGUCUCUUAUAC
rnacentral:rRNA from 1 species